AUGCCUUAUUAUAUCAAGAGUGUCAGAAAUGCAGGGCUUUCUGGCUCUAAUGUCAUUGCCUUCAGUAUCAAGGAUGGCAGCCUCAGGGCUUCCUUCCACAAAACACCUUGAUGGAGGCCAUCGGUUUCUUCUAUCCUGCUCUCUACUCUCCACUCCUAAUAGCACGGGUACCCAGGCUGGUUCUUGGGCUAGGAAGUGGGGACUAAGUUCAUUAUCUCCCUAUCAGUUCUAACACAGUAGUCUAUGAUACCAGUGUUAGUGGGAAGACCUAAAUUUUCCUGGUAUACCCAUCGCAUCCUAUUCCUAUCUGGUUAACACACUGCUUCCAGGAAAUCCAGCUCCUUAAACUGAUACUAGUCAAUAAACCUGGGCAAGCAAGGCAAGAGAAAAGAAAAAGAAUUCAUCUAUGAACUGAUAGACAAAGAUGAACAACAAAGGAAAACAAUAACAAACAGAAAGGAAAGAAUUUAGUUGGGCAAAGAAAAAGUCUUUGCCACCCUGAUAUAGUACCAGUAAGCAUUUCUAGGUCCCAGAAUGGAAAAAAUUCAGUUGCUGGUAAUACAAUGUUGUCCUUUCUCUGGAGCCAACUUUUUUUUUUUUUGAUUGACACUUAGUUUUUACUUGUUUAAUUCCAAAAGAGAAGGGAGCUGAAGCCAUUUCCUGUAGGAGUAAAGAUAAAAGGAUAGGAAAAGAUUCAAAGCUCUAAUAGAGUCACUGCUUUCCUAGGUAUCAAACCUAAAAACCAGAAGUGCAAUAAGCAGAAGUGGAAAAAUGUUCUGGAUACCUAUCCACAGAACAAAUGAUUUAUAAACUUGAAAUCUAAAUGUCUUUCUUCAUAUCACUUUGGUCUCCAUUUUUCCCAGGACAGGAAACAUGUAGCUUUCUUGCUUCAAAAAGUAAAACCCAGCAUCCCAAGAUCAUUCUGCAAGUAAUUUUGCACAGACAUCUCCUCACCCCAGUGCCUGUCUGGAGCUCACCCAAGGUCACCCAACAACUUGGUUGUGAACCAACUGCCUUAACCUUCAGGGGGGAGGGGGGUUAGCUAGACUAGGAGACCAGAAAUGAAAGGGAAGGGGUGAGGACUUCACAAUGUUGUCCUGUCAGAGCUCGAUUAGAAGCCAAGCCAGUGGCAGCAAGGGAUGGCUUGGCCUAGGAAAAACCUGUGGGCUGUGGUAAUUUCUAUCCAGGAAGAAAGGUGGACAGAAGCAUGUAGAGGCAUGGAGGAAAUGGGACCUGGUUAUGUUGUAAUUCUUGGACUGUGAAUUUUGCUGAUGUAAAACAGAACAUUCUGUAAACCUAAUGUUUAUGUAUAAAUAAUGAGCGUUAACACAGUAAAAUAUUCAAUGAAAAGUCAAA